rnacentral:snoRNA from 1 species
AUUAUGAUGAGGACAAUCGCAAAGCAACCCCUUAAACCUCUCCCAAGCAAAAUAUAAUAACUCGCCCUCCUUCUACUUAAAGGUGACUAUCUCACUUCUUAUCUU